rnacentral:lncRNA from 1 species
UGGAAAUCGUGAAACACGAUUUUAUGAGAAGAUUUUGAAUUUUUUUUGCUUUUGCAUGGCCAUGUGGCGCGAUUUGAUUGACUCGCCUUGCUUUUGUUCUUUAGCAUCCAAUGAUUGGGAGAGGUUUUCAUUGGUCCAUGUAGCUGGCACAAAAUACCAUGUUGAAUUAUUUGACCAAACUUUCUUUUUAGUUAUUCAUUUUCUUUUAUUUUCUUUUAUUUGUUUAUUUUAUUAAAAAUAUUUUUAAUUAUCAAAAAAAUACAAAAAAAAAUAUGUGUUGAAUGGUAU